UACGAAGGGGGCUAGCGUUGCUCGGAUUGACUGGGCGUAAAGGGCGCGUAGGCGGUUCGUACAGUCAGACGUGAAAUUCCUGGGCUCAACCUGGGGGCUGCGUUUGAUACGUGCGGACUUGAGUGCGGAAGAGGGUCGUGGAAUUCCCAGUGUAGAGGUGAAAUUCGUAGAUAUUGGGAAGAACACCAAUGGCGAAGGCAGCUCGCUGGGACGUUACUGACGCU
rnacentral:rRNA from 1 species